CUGGUCUAUCUCGGUUGGGAGGUGGAACGUAG
rnacentral:scRNA from 1 species